UACAGAGGGUGCGAGCGUUAAUCGGAAUUACUGGGCGUAAAGCGUGCGUAGACGGUAGCGUAAGUCAGAUGUGAAAGCCCCGGGCUCAACCUGGGAACUGCAUUUGAGACUGCUCUGCUCGGGUGCGGAAGAGGGAAGCGGAAUUUCCGGUGUAGCGGUGAAAUGCGUAGAUAUCGGAAGGAACACCAGUGGCGAAAGCGGCUUCCUGGUCCGACACCGACGUCCAGGCACGAAAGCGUGGGGAGCAAACAGG
rnacentral:rRNA from 1 species